rnacentral:rRNA from 1 species
UACGAAGGGGGCUAGCGUUGCUCGGAAUCACUGGGCGUAAAGGGUGCGUAGGCGGGUCUUUAAGUCAGGGGUGAAAUCCUGGAGCUCAACUCCAGAACUGCCUUUGAUACUGAAGAUCUUGAGUUCGGGAGAGGUGAGUGGAACUGCGAGUGUAGAGGUGAAAUUCGUAGAUAUUCGCAAGAACACCAGUGGCGAAGGCGGCUCACUGGCCCGAUACUGACGCUGAGGCACGAAAGCGUGGGGAGCAAAGCAGGGAUUAAGA